GAUGAACGCUGGCGGCGUGCCUAAUACAUGCAAGUCGAGCGAAUGGAUUAAGAGCUUGCUCUUAUGAAGUUAGCGGCGGACGGGUGAGUAACACGUGGGUAACCUGCCCAUAAGACUGGGAUAACUCCGGGAAACCGGGGCUAAUACCGGAUAACAUUUUGAACCGCAUGGUUCGAAAUUGAAAGGCGGCUUCGGCUGUCACUUAUGGAUGGACCCGCGUCGCAUUAGCUAGUUGGUGAGGUAACGGCUCACCAAGGCAACGAUGCGUAGCCGACCUGAGAGGGUGAUCGGCCACACUGGGACUGAGACACGGCCCAGCCUCCUACGGGAGGCAGCAGUAGGGAAUCUUCCGCAAUGGACGAAAGUCUGACGGAGCAACGCCGCGUAAGUGAGGAAGGCUUUCGGGUCGUAAAACUCUGUUGUUAGGGAAGAACAAGUGCUAGUUGAAUAAGCUGGCGCCUUGACGGUACCUAACCAGAAAGCCACGGCUAACUACGUGCCAGCCGCCGCCGUAA
rnacentral:rRNA from 1 species